rnacentral:lncRNA from 1 species
CAAAGUUGCUAUGUUUGUUUGAAUUCAUGUCUUUCUGGUUCCAUGGCUGGCUCUGGAUCUACUAUGCCAUCUUGCCUCUGAAUUCUUAUGGAUGGUGUUGAAUAUCUAUAUAUCUAUAUCUAUACAUACAAAUAUACACAUAAACACUUAUUGACAUGAUAUGUUAUUAUAAUGUGAUGAAUAAUGAGUUAGAAAUUCUCUAGAGCCACCAGGAAUACCAGGCAUUUCAAGCAGGUCUCAGACAGUCAGUAGUAGGGGAAAUGUCAGUCACAAGAGUCCUUUGGAGGAGUAUUUCUGUAUCUGAUUUCCUUUUGGGCCUAGAAAUGGCAGGCUCAGGAAAUAGGUAAAAAGGGAAAUAGGUUAUUAAUAGAACAAUCUCCCCUUUUUAUUUUAUUUUAAAGGUUUCUGGGAUUUUUUGUUUGUUUUUCAGAUAAAACCUUGGAUAUCAGGUACUAACAUGACAAAAAAGUCUUACCUGAAUUCUAUGGAACUCCUGCUGUCAAUGAGAGGAUCCAUGAAAGGGAUCAAGGAACUCUGGAGAAUAAGGCUGCCAGGAAAACUUCAGGAAGGAACUUGGUUCCACCCAAGCAGCUGUGAGCAGGUCUUCAAGAAUUCCAGCCUUCAGAAUGCUGUCGCAGUAAUGAACUGCUCUUAGGGAAGAAAGAAAACAUACAGUGUCAGUCAUGACUGGUGACAGGAUGCAAUUAACCCAGGAUCAAAUUGCAGAGAGAUGGAUGGGACCAGAUGGUCCUGUUAUCCUAACAAAGGGAUUAUACAGUAAGUGCCCUUCAGAAGGGAGACAUUUUUCUACAUAGAUCUUUAGAAUGAAAAAAGACAAGAGAAGACUCCUAAUAAUUUCCAAACAUACAUUACAGAAAAGGGAAACUAGUAAAUCAUGUUUUAAAUCUUCAUUUCAGCUCUUAAUUGGUGGCUGGUAAUGCAAUGACAAUGUCAUUUCAGAUGAUGCCAGGAGCUGACUCUACAGAGAAUCAGAAGUUGAAGAAGUCUUAAACAUGAUGAGCUUUCACAUGGAGACUCAGGUAAUCUUGAAUAGAGAUAGACAUCUAAAAAAUAGACAGAGAAUGUACAAAGGAAAAAAAACCUAUUAUUAAUUUAUUUCCUUCAUAAUUUGGGGGGAAGAUAAUGCUAUUCUUUAUUGUCUGAAGUCUAGUAAGAAGGAAGUCAGAGAAAUUGAUGGUUGGUUUCUGAUAUAGUUCAUUUGUGUUGUUAAACAAAAAUAAGAAUAAGGGAAAGAGAAUAGGGUAAAUAAUUACAGAACUUUUAAAGCUUAACCCUACAAAGAAUCUUCCUCUCCAGGCUUCUAGUUCCUUUCUUCCAGCUUGAUACUGUACUAUCCUCCUUUUAGAGAUGGAAAAACUGAGGCACAGUGUUUGACAAAAAUUGAUGGGAUUGACCCACA